AUGGGUGCCGGGCUAUAUGGGUAUACAGAUCAAACCACACCCGAGCCAAACAAAACCAUAGUCACCAAGACCUCAGAAGGAAAGGACCAAAUCACUCCUAACCCUAAAUACAAACCAUGGCUGAUUCAAGAUCAGCAGAUCAUAGCCUUCCUCCUUCGUAAUCUCUCGAAGGAGGUCCUGAUCCAAGUCGCCUCCCUAGAAACCUCGCAUGCGAUAUGGUCAGCCCUAGCAAACAUGUUCGCUACGCAAUCCCGUUCUCGUGUGAACAACUGCCGCCACUCCCUCACCAAUGCACAGAAAGGCUCCUUGAGCGCAUCCGCAUACUUUGGGCAAAUGAGAGCACUCUCGGACGAGCUAGCUACCGCCGGGAACCCCAUAACAGAAGCAGAUCUUCUUUCUCACAUCAUUGCAGGGCUCGACAUGGACUACCAACCUCUGAUCUCGGCGCUGGAUGUAUGCACCGCUCCCCUCUCGGUGGAUGAUCUCUUCGGCAUGGUCUCCAACUUCGACCGGCGCGUUAAGAUGUUCCACGGGACAGGGGCAGGGGCUUUCAAGUCCUCGGCUAAUGUUGCAUCCCGAGGUCGUGGCAACAACAACAACUCCAGCCGCUACCGCAACUCCAACAGGAGUGGUGGUGGAUCUCGUGGUGGCGGCGGCGGCCCCUACCAGAACGGCGACAAUGGCGGCGGCGGUUACUACUGUUGGGGAACGUAG
rnacentral:rRNA from 1 species